UACGUAGGGGGCAAGCGUUGUCCGGAUUUAUUGGGCGUAAAGAGCGUGUAGGCGGCCAGCCAGGUCAGCUGUGAAAACUCGAGGCUCAACCUCGAGACGUCGGUUGAAACCGUCUGGCUAGAGUCCGGAAGAGGAGAAUGGAAUUCCUGGUGUAGCGGUGAAAUGCGCAGAUAUCAGGAGGAACACCGGUGGCGAAGGCGGGUCUCUGGGCCGAUACUGACGCUGAGGAGCGAAAGCGUGGGGAGCGAACAGG
rnacentral:rRNA from 1 species